UGGGGAAUAUUGGACAAUGGGCGAAAGCCUGAUCCAGCCAUGCCGCGUGUGUGAAGAAGGUCUUCGGAUUGUAAAGCACUUUAAGUUGGGAGGAAGGGCAGUAAGCGAAUACCUUGCUGUUUUGACGUUACCGACAGAAUAAGCACCGGCUAACUCUGUGCCAGCAGCCGCAGUAAUACAGAGGGUGCAAGCGUUAAUCGGAAUUACUGGGCGUAAAGCGCGCGUAGGUGGUUCGUUAAGUUGAAUGUGAAAGCCCCGGGCUCAACCUGGGAACUGCAUCCAAAACUGGCGAGCUGGAGUAGGGCAGAGGGUGGUGGAAUUUCCUGUGUGGCGGUGAAAUGCGUAGAUAUAGGAAGGAACACCAGUGGCGAAGGCGACCACCUGGGCUCAUACUGACACUGAGGUGCGAAAGCGUGGGGAGCAAACAGG
rnacentral:rRNA from 1 species